rnacentral:rRNA from 1 species
CUUGCAAACUGGAGAUGGCGACCGGCGCACGGGUGAGUAACACGUAUCCAACCUGCCGAUAACUCGGGGAUAGCCUUUCGAAAGAAAGAUUAAUACCCGAUGGCAUAAUAGAACCGCAUGGUUUGAUUAUUAAAGAAUUUCGGUUAUCGAUGGGGAUGCGUUCCAUUAGGCAGUUGGUGGGGGUAACGGGCCCACCUAACCUUCGAUGGAUAGGGGUUCUGAGAGGAAGGUCCCCCACAUUGGAACUGAGACACGGUCCAAACUCCUACGGGAGGCAGCAUGG